GGUGAAAUGCAAUUAUUUUGAUGUUGUAGAUACUGCAUCAGGAACUGAUUGGAUCCCAGGGAGCAGCCAUCAGUUCCUAAUGCACUGCCUUCGGCAUCUAAACAAACAUCAGUCUGUUU
rnacentral:pre_miRNA from 14 species